UACGGAGGGUGCAAGGCGUUAUCCGGAUUUACUGGGUUUAAAGGGUGUGUAGGCGGGCAUUUAAGUCUGGGGUGAAAAUCUCCGAGCUCAACUCGGAAACUGCCUUGGAUACUAUUUGUCAUUGAAUUAUUGUUGAGGUUGGCGGAAUAUAACGAAUGUAGCGGUGAAAUGCAUAGAUAUGUUAUAGAACACCGAUUGCGAAGGCGAGCUAACUAAG
rnacentral:rRNA from 1 species